UAUUUUUUUCUUCUUCUUCAGUUGUCUCUGCCAUCUUUCACCUGACCAUUAGUGCUGUCCUGACUAGCUCACUGUGAGGAGAAAAAAGUUAUCAAACCGUCAACCAGAAGUAAACACAUCACUUUGGACAACUCAAAGACACAGUCUAACUGCUGUUUAACCAAGUCUUUGGUCGGAGGUGAAGAAGAGAUGACAUCCUCCACACCAUCCCUCUGCUGCUCUCAUCAACCAUCACCCGCUGUGCUGGACAGACUGCAGCACCCACCAGGACCGUUCUCUCAUGGACUACACAAACAUGUGUUUUACCUGAUCGGGCUCCAGAUGUCCUGAAGCAGCUCUCAAUGACCACCAGACACCAGACUGAAGCACAACUGAUGCUGUAGUACCUGUCACUCACUGGGCUCGUUCCUGCUGAACCUCCAAGAGAUAAACCCCUCUUCAAGAAAGUCUGAGGUAAUGUCUUACUGAACUUGUGUUCAUUUAUUUUUUCUGUUAUCUUAGCUGCUGUAUUAAUGCUUGUGACGCUAUUGUACAGCUCUGCUGAUAUCAUCGUCUUUAACAGCAGUGUUUUCUCCCAGGUCUUCUUCAAGCCAGUUAAGAAAGGAAGAACAGCUUAGACACUCAGGCAGCUGAACUCACCAAAGGUGGACAUCAUGCAGCCCCCCU